AACUCAUUCACACUUGCAUACUUCCGGCCAGAGGAGCAUCUACAGCAGCGUGGAUUUACAACCCAGCCGCGGCCUCACUGAUGUAAGAAGGAGGAUUCUGGCCAGAGGGACAGCUGGUCUCCACCACUCCCGGCGGAGCGCUCCAGGAUGGGAGAAAGCAGGACAAAGGCGCUGCUGUGUCUUUCUCCCACCACGUCACCUCUGUGGUCUUCAAGACAGGACAGAGCCCAGGCCAGGGGAGCCUGACCCGCUACCACAACAGCUCUGCCGGCCCAAAGCCAGCGAGGUCCCCAGGGCCAUGCAGCGCACAACGCCGGCCCAGCCUCGGUACCCCUCCUGGAAGCGUGAGUCCACAGGGCCCCCAAGUCCAGCCGCUCACUGUGGGCAGGAAGCAUGUGGCAGAGUGCCGUGAGCGGUGCCGGGCAGCCACGCAGGAGUGCCGCGCAGUCCCCCGUCGUGGAGGGGAGACAAGACUGCUCCCCAAAAUGUGCUUUAAAAUCCGUGUUCUGAACCUGAUGACACUGCUGGAUUCUUCAAAUCUUUCUCUUCCUUCAGGCAAAAAGGCAGGGACAGGAACUUUUUCAGGGGAAUCUUACAGAGUUUACACCCCAGCACAAAAAGGCUCAAGUCCAAGAGGCCACUUGCCCUCACUCUAGGGCCCAAAGGACCAGCUGAGGCGGAUGCUGUUGCUCCAUCGUUUUGACUCAGUAGGACUGAGGAGUGAGCUACAGGUUCUGAGCAGAGCCAAGUGAGUUUCAAGGUUCCGGGUCCACCCCACAGGGAGGCUCCCUGAGAACUGCCCUAGUCUCGGACAAGGACAGAUGAACAGCGAACGGAGGCUUCUGCCCGCUCCGUGGUUAACCAGGCACGUCGCUCCCGGGACCCGACUGCUUUGGGAUCUGAGUCACGGCUGACACAGGCAGCCCGGGGUUAAGCAGGCUGUGAGGGAAGCCACGCCGCACCAUCUGCCCCGCCACACUCAAGGGCAACCGCAGAGAUCUUGUGAUCCGCUAGAGGGGUUUGCUUAACCUCACGCUGUGGGAGCGCUCCGCACAGAGCGCAGGGCGGCUGCAGCAGUCCUCUUGGUCACUCCAGCCCCAGAGCCUCCUGUGAGUGAGUCCCCAGCCCGCCCCAGGGCCCCAGGGACAGCGGCUGCUUCUCAUCGCUCUGCCACCCCUGCCAUCCCCGGCCACGGCGGGAGCGGCUCCACUUCUCCCCGGCUGCGGGGAGCGGACAGGCACAGAACGCUCCAUCCCAUCUCGAAAGCCUCUGAGGUAGAAGCCACCCAGGAUGUUCACUGCAAGGGCUGGAGCAACGAGUCUUUGUUUCCAGGCGCCCAGGAGGCCUCUCUGUCCAUGCGUGGAGAGAGGAGGCUCUCCUGGCCACACUGUCCUGUUUUUGGCCUCGGUUUAAGGGACAGCCGCAGCCCCCCAGUACUCUGGCCUAUUUUCCCUACAAGUUCGUGCAUGCUUAUCAGAACAAAAUCCCGUAAUUCUGAUGCAAGAAUAUAGUCAUCAAGCCUUUUGGAUACAUUUAGCAGUAAGAUCUCAUAAAAUUGAGAAUUCUUCAUCAACUGGGCAAUGACAGAAAUAAAUCCAUGUCUUAAACCAGAUGUGGUGGUGCAUGCCUGCACUCCAGGUACUUGGGAGGCUGAGGCAGGAGGAUUAUCAUGAGUUUGAGAUCAGCCUGGGCUAUACAGUGAGCUCAGGGACAGACUGAGCUACCUAGCGAGAUCCUAUCUCAAAGAAAAAGAACAGUCCAUGUCUUAAUCCUGCUGCUGUUGCCAAUCACCCCGACCAGUGGCCAAACACAGCCCCCCGCUGUGGUGAUGGUCGGAGCCUAAGCCGAGUUUCCUGCGGAUGAGGUCAAGUCCUGGACAAUGCUGACCCCUCUGGGAGGCUCAGGGGACACCUGGCCCCUUGGGCCUUUCCUAGUCCCUAGAGGAUUUCUCCCGCUGUGACAGUAGCCUGAGUCUCCUUGCCCGCAUGUUGCUCCCCCGUCACCUCCAAAUCCCUGGUCCCAUCUGCAGAGCCCCUUGGGCCACCGUAGGCAGCACGGUGCUCCCUGCUCCCGGAAGCAGGACGGAGCCAGCUUUGGGUUCCUCUGCUCAACCUGCCACAGGCUCAGAUUCCUCCCGGCCCUCACAGCGUGUGCGUCUCGAUCCGAGGCAGAAGCUUGCGGAGGGGACCGGAACAGCCCCCUUCCUUUCCCAUCCAGGGUUACAGCUCUCCAGAAAACUGAAACAGAGCACGCAGCGACCUUCUGAGACUCACAGAGAGAUUUCCUUUUGCUGCUGAAGAGAACCCAGUCUUCAUCACAGAAGGGCUUUUGUCCAGGUCCUGUGUUCCCUUCCUCCUCAUCACCUAGAGUCUCUAAGAGGGGUGCUAGGACAGGAUGAGGAUUGCAGGGAUGACAGAACAUGCGUGAUGAUGGGCCGCUGUCCCCCACCGCCCUCACGUGGGCCCAGGGGGCGGAUGGCAGGAGCCCGCUCCUGAUUCAGUGUCUACUGCUGCUCCCCAUGGCCCCCCGGGCCCAAUCCAGCACUCAAGACCCCACGCAUCCUCCUGUGCAGCCCCAAAUCCUCCCUCCCCACAGCCCGGCACUGAUGCUUCCGCCGGAAGUGACACUCCGGUGGGGACCACCUCAGCCUGCUACACCCAGCAGCGCCAGAGCUAUUGCAUUGGCCCACGGCAGGGGCUGCUGCAGCCACCCCACCCGUGAGGGUGACAAAGGAACACUCAGGGGAAAGGGAACCUGGCCUGGGAGAGACCACUUUUUCAACACCCGUCAGGAAUGGCCCUGGACUCUUGGCAGGUGGAAUACUGUAUUUAAGUGGAGACAUUAAGCAAUUCCAGUAUCGAGGAGGCUGAGGCACAAGGGUCAAUCCAUCAUCCUGGUUGGAUUUGAUCCAAGUUGCAGUCCAUCCUGGAAAACUUAGCAACCUAGCAAGACCCCAUCCCAAAAUAAAAAGACCAGCACAGGGAGAACAUCAGGUGUCCUGGGUAGAGAAAGUGAAGAGCCAGGCCUAGAGGGGCAGGAAGCAGGAAAUCCUGGGGAGGCACUAGGGGCAGCAGAGACAGAGGCCUGGCUCUGAGAAAUGCAGGUGCUCACGUGCCACCUGGCAACAGAAAUGGAGGUAGCACCCUAUGCCAAGCAAGCGCCCAGGACCCUGGCAUCCAGAGUUGGGGGAACACCGCCCACUGUCCCUUAGCUCCAGCUGCACACAGGGGCUCCCCGGAAGUGCAUCUCGGGCCCCUGCUCCACGUCACCUGCACACCAGGAGGGUGGGGCUGGGCCCAGUGAGUUGCCUCCCGGAGGGCAGCAUACCUCACACCUUCUCCAUUGUGUGAGUCUCCGCUCAGGCAGGAGGAGAGCCAGUGAGUGCGGAAGACACGCCCCAGGGUGACUCACCAGGGACAGUUAAUACCACUGAGGUGGCAUCGAGACUGGACGAGGGCAGGACUCAGAUAGAGCUGAGCCUCAGUGUGUGACCUCAGGGCUCCUCAGGGCACCCAGGGGAUCCUAGGCUCAAGCUUGCAAAGGACCGGGGCCUGCUUCAGCACCCUCUCGUUCAUUCCCCUGCAUUCUGUCUGCGCACCUGCCUGCAGGAGCCCUGGCCUAGGCCCUCAGGACGCGGUUCCAGGGGAGCAAAGUGGAACCAACAGAGAUAUCUCCAUGACAGCUCAGAGUGUGUCUCGGAAGCUCCUCUCCCUAUAUGCAGAUGUGGAUCCUUUCGAGAUCUGGUCUGGGUGGCAGACACGACCUGCUCACCCUGAGGUCUGCCCGAGGCUUCUGAGCCAUCCAGCGGGUCGGACCGUGGCACAGAUACUGCUGACACACAUGGGACAGGAGCAGGGAAUGUUCAUUCUCAUCCCUUCUACGAGAGACGGGGCUGCUAAGCACCAGACGAAGACGACGCGCACGCCCACAGGCUCCGGGGAAGAGUCACACCCCUCCCGUGAAGUGCUGAUGCGGAUCACCAGCCCUGCUUGUUCCCGGCACCGCUGCUCCGAACAUGCCGCUGGCCCGGAUCCACUUCCAGAACUUGCUCAACAGACUUUCAAAUGCUUUUUCUAAUAUAUCCGUUCUGCAUGACGCAGCUAAUCUGACCCUAGAAGCAAGGACCCAAAAUUAAACAGGGCAGUCGCUUCUGGCUCA